rnacentral:rRNA from 1 species
GAUGAACGCUGGCGGCGUGCCUAAUACAUGCAAGUCGAGCGAACGGACGAGAAGCUUGCUUCUCUGAUGUUAGCGGCGGACGGGUGAGUAACACGUGGAUAACCUACCUAUAAGACUGGGAUAACUUCGGGAAACCGGAGCUAAUACCGGAUAAUAUUUUGAACCGCAUGGUUCAAAAGUGAAAGACGGUCUUGCCGUCACUUAUAGAUGGAUCCGCGCUGCAUUAGCUAGUUGGUAAGGUAACGGCUUACCAAGGCAACGAUGCAUAGCCGACCUGAGAGGGUGAUCGGCCACACCGGAACUGAGACACGGUCCAGACUCCUACGGGAGGCAGCAGUAGGGAAUCUUCCGCAAUGGGCGAAAGCCUGACGGAGCAACGCCGCGUGAGUGAUGAAGGUCUUCGGAUCGUAAAACUCUGUUAUUAGGGAAGAACAUAUGUGUAAGUAACUGUGCACAUCUUGACGGUACCUAAUCAGAAAGCCACGGCUAACUACGUG